UUGCACCCUCUUUAUUGGGAGGGUUGAACCCGACACUCUCUAAGAUCCUUUCCAACCCCAAGUUCCCAUGAGUCUGUGUGGAACGUGGGGUUAUAAAUUGCACAGGGAGCUCUGAGAAAGGAGCAAGGGGCACAGCAAACUGAACCCUCACCCAGUCCUGGCAUGGGAGUAUGGAACGGCCCAUCUCCUCCCUGUGACAUCAUAGGUCCUUCCCCAGAGAAGCCCUAGCGAUUACCAUCUGCCUGCUAGUGUGCCGAUCUCCCAGAGGUGAUGCUGUGAGGAUCAAGUCAUUAAGCCUGCCUGUCAGAAAGAAUUCGCGCUACUCCCGGAGGCCCGGCCCAAGGCUCUAGCACAUGUCACCCUAGAUAAACACAUAAACCAUUCAAGACGGGGCGCCAUCUGUGUUUGAUGCCUGAUGUAUAAGCCUGAGUUGUGUUUCCAGCACAACUUGACCUGUGCUCUGAAUGAAUGAAAUACAGACCAUCUAAGCCACUGGAUGGACAGCUUAUGGAACUCUUCCAGACACUGCAAGUAUUUACCUGGUUGAAUGGAAACAAGGUGUGAGAUAAACUGUAAAGUUUUGGCCGGGGCCUGGCCACACUUGAGCUGGGACAUGUGUCAGCACCUCUCACGUCUCAUGUCUUCAGGUGAUGCCUGUUAACCACACCCAACCAUACUGAGGAACUGGCCUCUUACAACACUAUGACCUCAAUCCUCCAUGACCUCUAUCCCCAUUUCCCCGCAAGGGACAAGCUGAAGAAAGACCACUUAUUAUCAGUGCCUGAUGCUACACCUGUCAGUCUUCCCAGAUGUGGAAUGGAACAUUCCAGCACUUUGUGUAGGUGGGUUUGCUUGUUUUCAUGUAGUCUUACUUAGGGUUUAGGGUUUCUAUUGCUGUGAAGAGAUGCCAUGACCACGGAAACUCUUACAAAGGAAAACAAUUGGG